rnacentral:tRNA from 1 species
UGCUGAAUGUGUGGUUGGAAACUUUGUGAAAACAAAGGCAUGCCGACUAAGCGAUUGAUUUUAAACAAUUUCCACGUUCUUGCAUUAAUAGGCUCAUAACCUGAAGGUCGUCAGUUCAAAUCUGACUCCCGCAACCA